rnacentral:rRNA from 1 species
UACGUAGGCAGCAAGCGUUGUUCGGAGUUACUGGGCGUAAAGGGUGUGUAGGCGGUUGGAUAAGAGUGGUGUGAAAUCUCUCGGCUUAACUGGGAGGGUGCGCCGGAAACUGGAGUGCUCGAACGUGGGAGAGGAAAGCGGAAUUCCUGGUGUAGCGGUGAAAUGCGUAGAUAUCAGGAGGAACACCUGCGGUGUAGACGGCUUUCUGGACCAUUGUUGACGCUGAGACACGAAAGCGUGGGUAGCAAACAGG